UUCCGUGUAUCUUAUGGGACUGCUGUGGAGAUGACAAACCGAGUGUACAAGCUUCCAUCAUUUUACAAUGUACUCGAAGGAGAAAUAUUUCUGCAAAACUUGCCCAGCAUUGUUACGGCUUGUGUUUUAGAUCCUCAAGAAGGUGAAAGAAUAUUGGACAUGUGUGCUGCUCCUGGAGGGAAAACAACU